rnacentral:misc_RNA from 1 species
UUAAAUGUUUGAUUUUGAGGUUUAGCAUCUAAUUCACUUUAUUAUUAGUGCAAUGAUAGAAGCUUAUUAUAAUUGUAGGCAAAAAUUUUUUGAUAUUUGUCCAUGUGUUUCUUGCAGACUGUAUUUUUCAUUUUUAUGUUGUGAUUCCUCUAACUCCCUUCAUGUCCAACUUCCUUCUAUAUGAGUAAUCAUUUCAGAGACAUAGAGAGG